rnacentral:rRNA from 1 species
AAUCAACGCUGGCGGCGUGCCUAACACAUGCAAGUCGCACGAGAAAGGGGAGCAAUCCCUGAGUAAAGUGGCGCACGGGUGAGUAACACGUGACUAACCUACCCUCGAGUGGGGAAUAACCUAGAGAAAUCUGGGCUAAUACCGCAUAACACUUACGAGUCAAAGCAGCAAUGCGCUUGAGGAGGGGUCGCGGCGAGAUUAGCUAGUUGGCGGGGUAAGUGGCCCGACCAAGGCAAUGACCUGUAUCCGGCCUGAGAGGGCGCACGGACACACUGGAACUGAAACACGGUCCAGACUCCUACGGGAGGCAGCAGUGGGGAAUUUUGCGCAAUGGGGGAAACCCUGACGCAGCAACGCCGCGUGGAGGAUGAAAU